CCUACGGGUGGCAGCAGUGGGGAAUAUUGCACAAUGGGGGAAACCCUGAUGCAGCAACGCCGCGUGAAUGAAGAAGUAAUUCGUUACGUAAACCUCUAUCAGCAGGGACGAAAAUGACGGUACCUGAGUAAGAAUCCCCCGCUAACUACGUGCCAGCAGCCGCGGUAAUACGUAGGGGGCAAGCGUUAUCCGGAUUUACUGGGUGUAAAGGGGGCGUAGACGGUGCGCCAAGUCUGGAGUGAAAUCCCGCAGCUGAACUGCGGACCUGCUUUGGAAACUGGCGAACUAGAGGGCGGGAGGGGUAAGCGGAAUUCCUAGUGUAGCGGUGAAAUGCGUAGAUAUAAGGAGGAACACCGGUGGAGAAGGCGGAUUACUGGACCGUAACUGACGUUGAGGCUCGAAAGCGUGGGGAGCAAACAGGAUUAGAUACCCGUGUAGUC
rnacentral:rRNA from 1 species